GACGAACGCUGGCGGCGUGCUUAACACAUGCAAGUCGAGCGGAAAGGCCCUGCUUUUGUGGGGUGCUCGAGUGGCGAACGGGUGAGUAACACGUGAGUAACCUGCCCUUGACUUUGGGAUAACUUCAGGAAACUGGGGCUAAUACCGGGUAGGAGCUCCUGCUGCAUGGUGGGGGUUGGAAAGUUUCGGCGGUUGGGGAUGGACUCGCGGCUUAUCAGCUUGUUGGUGGGGUAGUGGCUUACCAAGGCUUUGACGGGUAGCCGGCCUGAGAGGGUGACCGGCCACAUUGGGACUGAGAUACGGCCCAGACUCCUACGGGAGGCAGCAGUGGGGAAUAUUGCACAAUGGGCGGAAGCCUGAUGCAGCAACGCCGCGUGCGGGGUGACGGCCUUCGGGUUGUAAACCGCUUUCGCCUGUGGCGAAGCGUGAGUGACGGUAAUGGGUAAAGAAGCACCGGCUAACUACGUG
rnacentral:rRNA from 1 species